AUUGAACGCUGGCGGCAUGCCUUACACAUGCAAGUCGAACGGUAACGGGUCCUUCGGGAUGCCGACGAGUGGCGAACGGGUGAGUAAUAUAUCGGAACGUGCCCAGUAGUGGGGGAUAACUGCUCGAAAGAGCAGCUAAUACCGCAUACGACCUGAGGGUGAAAGGGGGGGAUCGCAAGACCUCUCGCUAUUGGAGCGGCCGAUAUCAGAUUAGCUAGUUGGUGGGGUAAAGGCCUACCAAGGCAACGAUCUGUAGUUGGUCUGAGAGGACGACCAGCCACACAGGGACUGAGACACGGCCCAGACUCCUACGGGAGGCAGCAGUGGGGAAUUUUGGACAAUGGGCGAAAGCCUGAUCCAGCAAUGCCGCGUGUGUGAAGAAGGCCUUCGGGUUGUAAAGCACUUUUGUCCGGAAAGAAAUGGCUCUGGUUAAUACCUGGGGUCGAUGACGGUACCGGAAGAAUAAGGACCGGCUAACUACGUGCCAGCCGCCGCCGUAA
rnacentral:rRNA from 1 species